CUCGCAAGAGGAGCGGCAGACGGGUGAGUAACGCGUGGGAAUCUACCGUACCCUACGGAAUAGCUCUGGGAAACUGGAAGUAAUACCGUAUACGCCCCCCUUUAAAAUGUCAGAAUCAUAAAAUGCCUCUGGCCUUUUAUGGGGGGGAAAGAUUUAUCGGGGUAUGAUGAGCCCGCGUUGGAUUAGCUAGUUGGUGGGGUAAAGGCCUACCAAGGCGACGAUCCAUAGCUGGUCUGAGAGGAUGAUCAGCCACAUUGGGACUGAGACACGGCCCAAACUCCUACGGGAGGCAGCAGUGGGGAAUAUUGGACAAUGGGCGCAAGCCUGAUCCAGCCAUGCCGCGUGAGUGAUGAAGGUCUUAGGAUUGUAAAGCUCUUUCACCGAUGAAGAUAAUGACGGUAGUCGGAGAAGAAGCCCCGGCUAACUUCGUGCCAGCCGCCGCGGUAA
rnacentral:rRNA from 1 species